rnacentral:rRNA from 1 species
GACGAACGCUGGCGGCGUGCUUAACACAUGCAAGUCGAACGGAAAGGCCCUGCUUGCAGGGUACUCGAGUGGCGAACGGGUGAGUAACACGUGGGUGAUCUGCCCUUCACUUCGGGAUAAGCCUGGGAAACUGGGUCUAAUACCGGAUAGGAGCCAUUUUUAGUGUGAUGGUUGGAAAGUUUUUUCGGUGUAGGAUGAGCUCGCGGCCUAUCAGCUUGUUGGUGGGGUAAUGGCCUACCAAGGCGGCGACGGGUAGCCGGCCUGAGAGGGUGGACGGCCAAAAUGGGAACGAGAUAAGGCCCAGAAUCCUAAGGGAGGCAGCAGUGGGGAAGAAUGCACAAGGGGCGCAAGCCCGAUGGAGCGAAGCCGCGGGGGGGAUGACGGCCUUCGGGUUGUAAACUCCUUUCGCUAGGGACGAAGCUUUUUGUGACGGUACCUAGAUAAGAAGCACCGGCUAACUACGUG